UGGUGAUGUCUUCUAACCAUUAUCAAUGAAGGCACUCGAUCAUGCUGUGGGUUGGUUAACCUUAGACGCAUUCGUUGUCGAAAGUGUGAUGUGAGGGCGGGUUGGAUGCCCC
rfam:Virgibacillus sp. LM2416 chromosome, complete genome.